CCCGAAAGAUCGAACGGGGAGAUUCAUCGUCAGCGUCGUCGGCUUCGCCGCGGCUCGAGAUGUCGUGGACCACGCGUCCGCGGUACACGGUCGCGGCGCUCUAUGCCCGGCGGCGUCGGCGUGCACUUCUCCCCUAGUAGGACGUCGCGACCCGUUGGGCGUCGGCAUACGGCCCGCGCGGUAGCCUGUCUCGGCGCUCGCGCCGGGGCAGACCCGCGGUAGCCCGGCCGGCUGCCCGGCGGUACUCGCACGGUACAGAGCCGCAUCGAACUUGCGUCCAGCCCGUCGCAAGCGCGGUCAGCGAUUCCCGGUGGUCGGACCCAGAGCCGUCCCCGGGCCUGGCCAACUGUUGGUUGACGGUGCCCUCGGACCGGCUCUUAUACCGGUCGGCGACGCUACUGCUUUGGGUACUUUCA
rnacentral:rRNA from 1 species